rnacentral:rRNA from 1 species
GUGGGGAAUAUUGGACAAUGGGCGCAAGCCUGAUCCAGCCAUGCCGCGUGAGUGAUGAAGGCCUUAGGGUUGUAAAGCUCUUUCAGUAGGGAAGAUAAUGACGGUACCUACAGAAGAAGCCCCGGCUAACUUCGUGCCAGCAGCCGCGGUAAUACGAAGGGGGCUAGCGUUGUUCGGAUUUACUGGGCGUAAAGCGCACGUAGGCGGUUUGUUAAGUCAGGGGUGAAAUCCCACAGCUCAACUGUGGAACUGCCCUUGAUACUGGCAAGCUAGAGUCCGGAAGAGGUGAGUGGAACUCCUAGUGUAGAGGUGGAAUUCGUAGAUAUUAGGAAGAACACCAGUGGCGAAGGCGGCUCACUGGUCCGGUACUGACGCUGAGGUGCGAAAGCGUGGGGAGCAAACAGGAUUAGAAACCCCAGUAGUCC